GAUGAACGCUGGCGGUAUGCCUAACACAUGCAAGUCGAACGGACGCUUCGGAGUUAGUGGCGGACGGGUGGGUAACGCGUGAGAAUCUGCCUUUGGGUUCGGGACAACCACUGGAAACGGUGGCUAAUACCGGAGGUGCUGAGAGGUAAAAGAGGAAUUGCCUGAAGAUGAGCUCGCGUAUGAUUAGCUAGUUGGUGAGGUAAAGGCUCACCAAGGCAGCGAUCAGUAGCUGGUCUGCGAGGAUGACCAGCCACACUGGGACUGAGACACGGCCCAGACUCCUACGGGAGACAGCAGUGGAGAAUUUUCCGCAAUGGGCGAAAGUCUGACGGAGCAAUACCGCGUGAGGGAAGAAGGCUCUUGGGUUGUAGACCUCUUUUCUUAGAGAAGGACAAAAUGACGGUACCUACGGAAUCAGCACCGGCUAACUCCGUG
rnacentral:rRNA from 1 species